rnacentral:rRNA from 1 species
ACCAGACUCCUACGGGAGGCAGCAGUGGGGAAUAUUGCGCAAUGGGGGAAACCCUGACGCAGCAACGCCGCGUGAGUGAAGAAGUAUCUCGGUAUGUAAAGCUCUAUCAGCGGGGAAGAAGGAAGACGGUACCCGACUAAGAAGCCCCGGCUAACUACGUGCCAGCAGCCGCGGUAAUACGUAGGGGGCGAGCGUUAUCCGGAUUUACUGGGUGUAAAGGGAGCGUAGACGGCGGCGCAAGUCUGAAGUGAAAGCCCGUGGCUCAACCGCGGAACCGCUUUGGAAACUGCGAGGCUGGAGUGCUGGAGAGGUAAGCGGAAUUCCUGGUGUAGCGGUGAAAUGCGUAGAUAUCAGGAGGAACACCGGUGGCGAAGGCGGCUUACUGGACAGUGACUGACGUUGAGGCUCGAAAGCGUGGGGAGCGAACAGGAUUAGAUACCCGUGUA